GAGAGUGUUCAGUCCUUUAACACACACUGACACACAGCACAAUGAUGAUGUCACUCAUUCUACUGCUGGGGACCCUGGGACUCCUCACUCAGGAAUCCUUUGGGGAGAUAAUUCUGACUCAGUCUCCACAUUCUCAGUCAGUUACACCAGGACCGUAACGAUUCCCACAGGAACAGGCGAGAGGCAGAAUACAUGUGCAGGGGGCAGUUUAUUAACGGAGGAAAAACACAAUCACUGAGGGCAAAAUAACAGGGGCAAGGAGAAAACACUGAGGCAAAAUGAUACCCAAACUAAGCAAAUGGAAAAGCAACGGUGAACCAAUGAGCAUAAUUUAAACACGACAGAACUAACGUAACUCCGCGUGGUGCGGAGACAUGUGGAGUUUUCUUCUUCCACCCCAGGAAUGGGCAGGCCCAGGGGCGCGACUGCGGCAUUCAACGGCGAGUCUGGAAGGUCCAGAGGCACAGCUAAGGCAUUCAGCGGCGGGCCCGUGAGGCCCAAAGGUGGUGCUGCACUGGUCAGCGGUGCUGUACUGGUCAGCGGUGCUGCACUGGUCAGCAGUGCUGUACUGGUCAGCAGUGCUGCAGGGUUCGGAGGUGUCUCUGUGCCGUUCAGCGUUGCUGCGGCGGUCAGCAGCGGGGGGUCCAGGAGGUCUGGAGGCGCGGCUGCACCGGUCAUCGGUGCUGCAGGAAGGUCUGGGGGCGCACCUACAGGUACAGACUCAGCACAAGAAACAGGAACAGGUUGAGACCUCUUGGGUAGUGAGAACAGGCCAGAUGGCCACCACUAGGCCGGGAACAGGAACAGGACUGGCGGCAUCCACUCCACCGGGGACUGGGUCUGGACGGGUGGCGUCUCUUGUGCCAGGGACUGGAACAGGAACUGGCCAGGCGGAGUCAUCUCUCACGGUGGGGACCGGAGCUGGCCGGGUGGUGUCAUCUCUCGCACCGGGGACAGGAUCAGGCUCGGCGGCGUUUCUCAUGCGGGAGGCAGGGGCUGGAUCCGGCUGGGUUUCUCUCGCACCAGGGGCUGGAUCCGGCCAGUUGACGAACACCAUGCCGGAGAUUACGACUGUUCCUCCUCACAGGAGGCAGGGACUGGCUGGGCAGCUGAGAGGGGAGUAGCUAUAGAAGGCAGGUUCGGUAGGGUUGUAGCAAACUGUGCUGUUAACAGCUGGAAGAAACCUUCCACAGUUCUAGCCUCCUGAGCUCUGUGCUGAAAUAUUAUCUCUGCCCACUCCAGUGCUUUACCCCGAAGAAAGGUCUUUAUGAACAGCACCUUCACAAGUUCAGGGGGUUUAGGGCAGGUCAGGCACUGGAGAUAGUUGCGGCACUGCAUAAUGAAUCUCCCUACUGACUUGUCCUCCCCGUCAUGCUCACUCGGAGUCACCAUAAGUGAGGGAAAUACCAGUGGCUUGAUAUAAGCAAGCUCCCCCUCUGGGAGUAAUCCAGUGUCCCUCAUAGCAUGGCAUGACGGUUGCUGAACUCAAGAUGACGGAACACGAUGCGACGGAUCGAAGCCCUCCUGCUGCAUUCUCUUAGUUGGGUUUGGUUGUUCUGUAAAGAUUCCCAUAGGAACAGGCGAGACGCAGAAUGCAUGUGCAGGGGGCAGUUUAUUAACGGAGGAAAAACACAAUCACUGAAGGCAAAAUAACGGGCAAGGAGAAAACACUGAGGCAAAAUGAUACACAAACUAAUCAAACGGAAAAGCAACAGGAAACCCACGAGCAUAAUUUAUACAGGACAGUACUAACGUAACUUACCAAAAUAACCAACAAACUAGAAAACAAAACACGCAACAAAACUAAGGAGCAGAACCAGGCACUGCAGGAAAACAGACAACAGGGAAACCAUGACAACAGGAAUACCAGGAUGGCAGCCACUCCUGACAAGGACAGAUUGAUACUAUCAGUUGCAGGGCCAGUCUGGGUAUUAGCAAUUACCUCCACUGGUACCUACAGAAACCUGGAGAAGCUCCUAAACUCCUAAUCCAUUAUUCAUCUACCUGUCAGUCUGGGAUUCCAGAUAUAUAAAUGUUUUAUUUUUGUGUGUUCUGGUAAGUAGGGAGUGGCUGCCAUUGUGUUUGGAGCCUGGGUUAUUUUAUAUGUUUUCUCUUAUUGAGUUACUGUAGUCUUGUGUAUUUAUUUUGUCUGUGUUUUCACUUAUGGAGUUUAUGUAGUCUUAUGUGUUUAUUUCGUCCUGUACAGGUUUAGUCAGCAUCUUUAUUUUCUAGUGUGGGUUAGUACCAGUGUUAGACUUUGAACUGUGUUUAUUAGAUGUUGGAUAUUUUGUUCAUAUAAUACACUGGCACACCUUGAACUA